GGUAAAUGUUUCAUGAUAAUGGGUUAGGUAAAUGUUUCAUGAUAAGAAUUUCAUGUCUUUUGUAUUAAAGAAUUAAAUGGAUGAAAUAUGAAGUUUUAUUAAAAGAAAAAGGGGUGAAAAGAACAAAGUUUUGUCCAUCUUUGUUCAUCAUAGCUGAAAGUUAGAGAAGAGAAAUGAGAGGAGAAAGCUCGAGUAUUUGGUCAUUAGGAGGAGGAAAAUUGAAGGAAAUCCCCAACCAUAGUGGGCUUGGAGCUGUGAGGGAAUUCGGAGUGGCCACCCGUUCUGAAAGUUUGAUUUUCUUCUGGUGAACUGAACAUCCUUUUAUUUACGUUUGAAGUUUUGGGUUUUUAAAUGUAAUAAGGCCGCUUAAUUAUUUUUGAUGGUUUUAAUAUGUAUUACUAAGAUAGGUAUUACUUAUUUUAACUGUCGAAAUUGGAUAGCUUUAGGGCGCGUUUUCAAAAACAACAA